rnacentral:rRNA from 1 species
CCUACGGGCGGCAGCAGUCGAGAAUCAUUCACAAUGGGGGAAACCCUGAUGGUGCGACGCCGCGUGGGGGAAUGAAGGUCUUCGGAUUGUAAACCCCUGUCAUGUGGGAGCAAAUUAAAAAGUUAGUACCACAAGAGGAAGAGACGGCUAACUCUGUGCCAGCAGCCGCGGUACUACAGAGGUCUCAAGCGUUGUUCGGAAUCACUGGGCGUAAAGCGUGCGUAGGCUGUUUCGUAAGUCGUGUGUGAAAGGCGCGGGCUCAACCCGCGGACGGCACAUGAUACUGCGAGACUAGAGUAAUGGAGGGGGAACCGGAAUUCUCGGUGUAGCAGUGAAAUGCGUAGAUAUCGAGAGGAACACUCGUGGCGAAGGCGGGUUCCUGGACAUUAACUGACGCUGAGGCACGAAGGCCAGGGGAGCGAAAGGGAUUAGAUACCCCGGUAGUC